AUUUGUGUAGAAAUUGCCUCCGAUGAUGAUCAAAUCAUAACUUUCGUUCUUCCGAGAUUUUAUCAUGCGGAGAAAUUAUGGAGACCUGAACUGAGCUGAGGCAAUUUCAUCAUCUCUUUUCUUUUUGUUUUUACAAAUUAUGGUGUCUUUUUUAUCUGGGGUAAGCUCUUAUGAUGUCAAAACUUUCGUUCUCCUGAGAUUUCAAUAUGCUGAAAAAAAUUGGAGACCUGAACUGAAAGAGUACUUAUUUCUUUGAAAACCCUUUUUUGCUCUAUUGUUUUUGUUUUCGUGACUAUUUUCUUAUGGUUUCAUAAAAAAUAAAUUAAUGACCCAAAAUAAUGAGCUUGAUUUUGGAUUAUCACAGGCAACAAGGUGUUAAGAAAAUAGGAAUAACUGAUAAUUUUGGGAAUUAAAACUUGUAAUUGAUGAUUAUUUCUUGCUUAGUUUAACUUGAAACAAACAGAUUGUAU
rnacentral:sRNA from 1 species